GAGUUUGAUCCUGGCUCAGGACGAACGCUGGCGGCGUGCCUAACACAUGCAAGUCGAACGGGGAUAUUGAUUUCGGUUGAUAUCCCAGUGGCGAACGGGUGAGUAACGCGUGAGCAACCUGACCUUUUGAGGGGGAUAACACCUGGAAACAAGUGCUAAUACCGCAUAAGACCACGGAGCGGCAUCGUUCAGGGGUCAAAGGAGGAAUCCGCAGAAGGAGGGGCUCGCGUCCCAUUAGAUAGUAGGCGGGGUAACGGCCCACCUAGUCGACGAUGGGUAGCCGAGCUGAGAGGCUGAUCGGCCACACUGGAACUGAGACACGGUCCAGACUCCUACGGGAGGCAGCAGUGGGGAAUAUUGGGCAAUGGGCGCAAGCCUGACCCAGCAACGCCGCGUGAGGGAAGAAGGCUUUCGGAUUGUAAACCUCUGUCGCAGGGGACGAAGGAAGUGACGGUACCCAAGAAGAAAGCCCCGGCUAACUACGUGCCAGCCGCCGCGGUAAUUC
rnacentral:rRNA from 1 species